rnacentral:rRNA from 1 species
AUUGAACGCUGGCGGCAGGCCUAACACAUGCAAGUCGAACGAGUGGCGGACGGGUGAGUAAUGUCUGGGAAACUGCCCGAUGGAGGGGGAUAACUACUGGAAACGGUAGCGAAUACCGCAUACCAUCGGAUGUGCCCAGAUGGGAGUAGCUGGUAGGUGAGGUAACGGCUCACCUAGGCGACGAUCCCUAGCUUGUCUGAGAGGAUGACCAGGCACACGGGAACUGAGACACGGUCCAGACUCCUACGGGAGGCAGCAGUGGGGAAUAUUGCAAAAUGGGCGAGAUCCUGAUGAAGCCAUGCCGCUUGUAGGAAGAAGGCCUUCGGGUUGUAAAGUACUUUCAGCGGGGAGGCGUUACCCGCAGAAGAAGCACCGGCUAACUCCGUGCCAGCAGCCGCGGUAAUUC